GAUGAUUUUUGACAUCCACGUAUAUUAGCUGAAGAGCUGAACACUAAGUGUUAAGAACUCUAACAUCAAGUGUUCAAAAAUGAAACACAAAGGCAUUAAAAACUGAACACCACAUAUUCAAUUGAUGAACACUAAGUGUUAAAUAACUCUAACAUCAAGUGUUCAAAAGUGAAACACAAAGGCAUUAAAAACUGAACACCACACAUUCAAUUGAUGAACACUAGUGUAAACAUAAGGAACACCAUUUUUGACUUAGAAAAUUCACUUUUUUUUUAUUUUGCAGGAAUCGUUAGAUUGGAAUGUUUGAAUUAGAAACCGG
rnacentral:lncRNA from 1 species